CUCUUAGUAGUCCCAGCUUGGCACACUGUGACCCAUACCUUGAGUCUAUGCAGAGAACUACAGAAAGAAGUAUGGCCAGUGAGGCCUAUUAUGACAUGAUGGGCCCCUUACAAAAGAAUGUGCCAAGACCCCACUACAUGAGUAUUGAUAUUGAUGCCGGUGAUGGCCUCCUUUUGGGGAGGGGCAGUUCUGAUCCAGAAGAUGAUGAUGAUCUGUUUUCCCAGAACAUGUUAACUAAUUGGAACUCCAACCACUCAGCAAACAACAACAGUUUAAGUGAUCGUACACAAGCUGUGGGUUUUCGAGAUGCAUACCUUGAUUUACGUCACCCUACACCCUCUUCUCAUGUCGGGAAUUUGAAAUCAAGAGCAUUGGAAACAAGAAACAGUUGUACAUAUAAUUCCAUCGAUUCAAUCAAAGACCACUCAUACAUGGAAGCCACAGAUAGUACACCCACUGCUAGUAACACUCACGCUGACUCAGAGGGUGGUGAAUACCUACAUUUAAGUCCUGACAGUACUCAGAAUGUUGAAUCAUCUUCCAAAUGUCAUUCUGUCACAGAAAGUGAGCAUAUUCAUACAUGGCAGAAGAACAUUGCUCCUAAACAUAUCAAAAACAAUACAUCAGACUUUAGUGUAGGAGGUUGUGGCAGAAUGAAUCCAUCAACUCUUCCAUCGGAGCUGGUAGUGACUAAAGAAAAUGUGUUACUUGAGACAAGGAUGUCCCCUGCACAAAAACUGAAACUUGGGACAGAUGGUUCUGCUGGAGUGUGUGUAAAAAUGGUGUCAUGCCCUAAGGAUCUGUCUAGGACUGUCUCAGAGUGUAAUCAUUUGACAGACAGCAGGAUAGUUCCCAACAACUCCAGUAUCGAUUUGGUGGAAAUGGAUGACUGCAGUGACAGCUGCAUGGACAUCCCCUCUGGAGUACUAGCAGAUUAUCCCUUAGACUAUGCAGAGGUGGGCAAUAUUGACCCAACUCAUAGAACACUGCAGAGAGACACUGGGUCCAGACACUGCGAGGACACAAUUAAUCUUGCCUCUAGUAGCAGUCCAUGUGAGGCCUUCAGCCCUGAUAGUUACCACAUGCCCAUUCAGCCGAAAUCCUUAGACAGUGGCUAUGAAACAGAAAAUAAUGAAUCUCCAGAGUUUAUCUUGAAAGACCUUG
ensembl:lncRNA